ACUAGAUCAGUGUCCAAACUGUACAAGGGGAUAUGCAGGCUUGAAGAAGGAACAGGCGGGUACGGAGUCAGGACAGGCAAGGGUCGAAACCAGGAGGACUAGAACCAAAAGAGACUGGGAAAAAAUUGGCGCAAGGAAAACAGCUGCUUGACAUGGAAAACAAGACGACAUGGCAAACAAGACAAACUGGCACAGAGAGACAGGAAUCACAGGGAUAUAUACACCGUGGAUAAUAUGUGACACCUGGAAGGGGUGGAGACAAUCACAAGGACAGUCCUGGUGCUCUGUGGAGUUUAAAAUGAAAGAGCCCCAGAACCAGCUGGCUGAGGGGACUCCUCUGUAGCCUCUCUCUCUUUCUCAGUCUCUAUCUAUUUUUGAGUCUCAUACAGGACUCCCAUUAGGCUGUGUUCAGGUUGGUCUGGCCUGCUGCUUGCUGUGAGUAGCGCUGCUGUGGAGACAGUGUGAAGGAAGAUAGUGCCAUUCCAGACAAUCCAUCAUCUCACUGCGGGUGGAACACACAACAACACUGCUCCACUGUGGACCAUUUCAAGUCAUUUACACAUUACUGAACGGCUGCAGUCAACAGUACCGGUUUACACAUCGAAAAGAGACCUAUAUAAUAGGAAUGGAUAAAAAGUAUGUUUCCAUGAACUUGUAAUCUUUUCUGGGAAUAUCUUUUGAUAGGUAGGAGAGCAUUUUAAGAUAAUGUGAUGAGGCUAAAAAAUAAAUAAAAAGUAGACCUAAUAUUUUUGAGGGAAUUAGCUCUGAAGAUGGUAGGCUAUUAGUCAUAAAUGUAUAUGACCAACAUGGCAUUCAAUAAUCCUAUGUAAAGUUGUAAAAAAAUACAUAUUUACAGUUUUCACCCUAACAGAACGUUCUAGUCCUGGUAGAUAUGUUUUAGCCCUAGCUGAGUCUCAUGGCCUAUUUGAGUCAUGAAGGAGUGCAGAGCAUUAGCUUACCUCUGACAGCCUCUCAUCACUGUCGCUGACCAAACUGUGAUACAUACUAAAGCUGACAGCUGAGGGGGAAACACCCAUAUUCAACCCUCCUUUCUUACUAUAGCGCUGCAGCCAGCUAUCUCAUCACAGAGGAGCAAGACGUCUAAGUGGGAAAAAUCUAUUUAAUUUCCCGCCAAAAUCGUCCAAUAUUUUGUUCUAGCUUUUGGGGACGGCUGUAGUGUUUAUUGGCCAUUUCAGAGACCAUUUUUUAAACUGGUUAUUGUUUCUCUCGUGGCCACCGGCCCACCGCUCACAACACCUGAG